GAGGCAGCAGUGGGGAAUAUUGGACAAUGGGCGGAAGCUGAUCCAGCAACGCCGCGUGAGGGAUGACGGCCUUCGGGUUGUAAACCUCUUUCAGCAGGGACGAAGCGCAAGUGACGGUACCUGCAGAAGAAGCACCGGCCAACUACGUGCCAGCAGCCGCGGUAAUACGUAGGGUGCGAGCGUUGUCCGGAAUUAUUGGGCGUAAAGGGCUCGUAGGCGGUUUGUCGCGUCGGGAGUGAAAACCAGGUGCUUAACACCUGGCUUGCUUUCGAUACGGGCAGACUAGAGGUAUUCAGGGGAGAACGGAAUUCCUGGUGUAGCGGUGAAAUGCGCAGAUAUCAGGAGGAACACCGGUGGCGAAGGCGGUUCUCUGGGAAUAUCCUGACGCUGAGGAGCGAAAGUGUGGGGAGCGAACAGGAUUAGAUACCCUGGUAGUCCACACCGUAAACGUUGGGCGCUAGGUGUGGGGUCCAUUCCACGGAUUCCGUGCCGCAGCUAACGCAUUAAGCGCCCCGCCUGGGGAGUACGGCCGCAAGGCUAAAACUCAAAGGAAUUGACGGGGGCCCGCACAAGCGGCGGAGCAUGCGGAUUAAUUCGAUGCAACGCGAAGAACCUUACCUGGGUUUGACAUACACCCUGCCGCUCC
rnacentral:rRNA from 1 species